AGAGCGAGCUACGCUGCAGGAGCGCAGUUACCAGCCGGCUGCGAUCACGUGCCUGGGAGGAGGAGCUGAGACCUCAGGGGAGGGGCGCGCGGUAGCGUCCCGGGUCCCCUAGCAGGGCUCUAGAGACCACGUGAAGUCUCCUCGGUAUGUAGCACGCCGCCCCCACCACUCCCAGCCCCAUUCCCAGCGCCUCUCGGGCGGAGACCUGCGACCCGCAGCCGCUUUCCGGGGCCCCGGACACCCCUUCCCUACCCUCUCAAUCCCUGGCGGCUCCUCCCGUCUGACAGGUGGCGCGAACGCGUCCAGUGAGAGGAGUCUGAGGUUUGCCCUGACGCCUUCCACAGCCUUAGUAGAGAUUCCGUGUUUCUUCCGUCUAGGCGAGUCCCCAGCCACCAACAGAUCACGACCCGCUGCUCCCACUUUAUUUUCAGCCGGGUCUUCCACCUCUCCCUCACUACUUAUGAAAUCCUCCACGGAAUAGUUCUGUGACAGCAAACGGUGAAGCCAAGUCACCUCACUGGUCACGAAACCCUUUUUGUCUAUACUUAGGGAGCUUCUGGCGAGGCAGUAUUCUUUAAUCAAAUCAUAAACCAUAUUUUUUGGAGACUACACAUCAAUGGGUUGUACCUGUAGCCUGGUGUGUAAAGCUCAUUUAGUGAAACCUCAGAGCUAUUAUGUGUCAACUUUUCUACAGUAAGUAUUUUGCCACAUGACAAAUGUUCGGCAAAUGUCGAUGGAGUAACUCUGACAUGAUUUUCAGGCAGUUAGAGGGUCCAUGCAAUGCAAUCAGUUGCAAAUGAUGAGGUUAAAGUAAUGGUACUGUACACACAGUACUAUCCUUCCAACUAGUAGGUUAUUAACACCUAUGUACAUCUCCAGCUGCUUGGGGACAGUAGUGUCUCAAUCUCAUUUGCAGUGUUUUAGUGUAUUACAUUUUUUAACAUAAUUGAAUAGUUUCAAUGUGACGAACAUUUUGAAACAUAUACUCUAUGCUGGGCAUGGUGGCUCACACCUGUAAUCCCAGCACUUUGGGAGGCCGAAGCGGGCAGAUUACGAGGUCAGGAGUUCAAGACCAGCCUGGCCAACAUGGUGACACCCCAUCUCUACUAAAAAUACAAAAAUUAGCCAGGCAUGGUGGCGCCCGCCUGUAAUCCCAGCUACUCUGGAGGCUGAGGCAGGAGAAUUGCUUGAACCCGGGAGGCGGCGGUUGUGGUGAGUCAAGAUUGCGCCACUGCACUCAGCCUGGGGAACAGAGCGAGACUUUCUCAACAACAACAACAACAAACAUAUACUUCUGCCAGCUCUUUGCUAUGAAGCCCCAUAAAGGGAAUUUACUGUUGCCUCGCUGAAUAGUGGUUAGGAGGAUGAACUCAGAAGCAAGUACAGAUGGAUUCUGUUCUGCCUCCUCCUCACUGUGUCAUCUUAGUUACUAAUCUUUCUGAGCUUCGAGUUCCUAUUCUGUGAAAAGAUAGUAUCAUCUAUUUUCACAUGGUUGAAAGAUUAAGGAAAAAGGUAUGCAAUGUACAUAGUAGCAUGUGUUUGGCACGUAGUUAGCCCUCAGUAAAUAACUGCUAUUAUUUUCUACAUUGGAUGCUGGAGAGGGAUGAAAUAAAGUAUCUUUUAUUUCUAAAUCUUUUUUGCUAUUUGGUUUAUUUUCUUUCUUCGAUUUGGAAGCAGCAAGCUUGAAACCUGCCCAAAGUAUACACAACCAAGUCUUCCAACAUCCAAACUAAAAUCCAAAAUUGGUUUAAUAACUCAAUAAUUUUCCUUCAGAGAACAGGACAGUAUUACUUUCUGCACUUUUCUCAGAGUGGUAUGAUGAUUUCCUACUCUUUUUCCUGCCCCCCCCAGAAAAGGUAUGAUGCAAAUAUGUUAAUAUUGUUGGUUUAUCUUUCCAGUUCCUGUGUUAAUAGUAAUGCAUGUAUAUAAUGUACUUAGCCAGAGCUAUGUAAUUACUUUUGUUUAAUGCCAUACCCAAUUAGUUCUCUCACCAUAAAAAAAUAUGAGAUGCCAAGGCAAGAGGAUCACUUCAGCCCAGGUGUUAAAGACCAGGCUGGGCAACAUAGCGAGACCCCAUCUCUACUAAAAAUACAAAAAUUAGCAAGGCAUGGUGGCCCCUGCCUGUGGUCCCAUCUACUCGGGAGGCUGAGGUGGAAGGACCACUUGAGCCCAUGGUUGCAGUGAGCCAUGAUUGUGCCACUGAAUUCCAGCCUGUGUGAUAAACUGAGAUCCUGUCUCGAAAAAACAACAAAAAAUCCUCAGAUGAGGUAGGCGAACCCACUAUUAUUGACACUUUCCUUAAUAGCCUUUUCCUAACUAAGCCAGAUUUUCCAUGACUAGUUGCUAUCUCCUUUGAAACACUAGCAUGUAUGUUAACUACUAUUGUUCUUGUCUUUUUAUGUAGAGAAUUUGAGAGUCUUACAAUUGGGAAUUAUAAAUUUCUCAACUACAUCUUGCCUUAAAAACGUAUUUUUAAGAAAAUAUGAAUAAGUUCUCAAGUUAUUUCCAAGGAUAUUAGCCUAGAUCGAUAAUGGCGGCAAAAUUCUUUUCAUCAGGAAAUCUACAUUAGAAUCUUGGUUCUCUCUACCUAGGGCACCUAGGAAAAAUAUGUGCCUUCAAGGAUUCACACAGCUGUGAAUAACUGAGUUCCAGUGUGGUAUUAUGCAAAAUAUUGAACUAGAGUAAAAGAAUGAGGGUUGAGUUUGGGUAGCCACUUACUUGCUAUAUGGCCUGAAGUAUGUAAAACACUGAGGCACAGUUUCAUUUAUUAAAUAGGGAUUCGUAACACCAGAUAAACCAACUUGAUAGAAUUGUGAAAGAGUUUCGUUAAGUGCGAAGAAUAUGUAGAGUGAUGUAAUAAUAUUUUUGGCACCGAGGCCAUAGUCCUUCCUGAAUUCUGUUUAGGUUGAGAAGCCUAUGUGUUUAAUUCAGUGUUGAUAAAACCAAAGCCAUCGAUUUAAAUUCCAAAUUGCCCAGCUUUGCACUUCUCAUGAUCACAGAUUGCACACAGGUAACAAUUCACAAAUGCAGGGAAUAGAUGACAAAGAUCAGCAGAAUCUACUCCACCCAGAUCCACUGCCAUUUCAGGAAAACAAAAGAUCAUGCUUUUAAUAUAGCACUAAUUUACUUUUUCCAUACAUUAGUCCUCAGAAUUUUUGGAAAUUUAUUGUUUUAAAAUUAAAAAAUCAAGAUUCUUAUCAUAUCCUUUUAUUAUCUAUUAUUGAUAUCAAUAUCGAUCUUUAGGAUUUUCAGGGCAGGGGAAGGGAGUCCAUGUGUUGAAAUUUUUUUCCUAAAUAAUAGUGUAUUUGCCUAGGCAGUGGGUCCUCCUUCUCUGUAUUCCUGUGUUCUACAUCUAUGGAUUCAACCAACUGAGGAUCAAAAAUAUUCACAACGUAAGCUGGGUGUGGCCAGGCGCCGUGGCUCACACCUAUAAUCCCAUCACUUUGGGAGGCUGAGGCGGGUGGAUCACUUGAGGCCAGGAGUUUGAGACCAACCUGGCCAACAUGGUGAAACCCUGUCUCUAAUAAAACUACAGAAAUUAGCCAUGUGUGGUGGCAUGCACCUGUAAUCCCAGCUUCUCAGGAGGCUGAGGCAGGAGAAUCGCAUGAACUUGGGAGGCAGAGGCUGAAGUGAGCAGAGAUCAUGCCACUGCACUCCAGCCUGAGUGACAGAGUGAGACUUGGUCUCAAGAAAAAAUAAUAAUAAUAAGCUGCAUUUGGGGUGUGGCAGUUCAUCCCUGUAAUCCCAACAAUUUGGGAGGCUGAGGUAAAAGGAUCCCAUGAAGCCAGAAAUUCAAGACCAGCCUGGGCAACAUAGCAAGGCCCUGUCUCUAAAAAUUUUUUUUUUCAAUUAGCCGGGCAUGGUGGUACACACCUGUACUCCCAGCUACUAGGGAGCCUGAGGCAGGAGGAUCCCUUGAGCCUAGAAGUUCAAGGCUGCAGUAAGCCAUGAUCACACCACUGCACUCCAGCCUGGGUAAUAAAGCAAGGCCCUGACUUUCUAAUUUUAAAAAGUAUGGUUGCAUCUGUACUAAACAUAUACAGACAUUUUUUCCUGUAAUUUCCUAAACCACAUAGUGUACCAACUAUUUACAUAGCAUAGGCAUUGUAAUGGAUAUUAUAAGUAAUCUAGAGAUGAUCGAAAGCAUACAAUCUGCAUAGGUUAUAUGCAAAUACUAUGCCAUUUUAUGGAAGGGAUUGAGCAUUCAUGAAUUUGGGUAUCCAAGCGGUGGGGUGUGGGGACAGAUCUUAGAACCAGUCCCCCACAGAUACAGAGGGAUGAUUGUAUUAGUAUUUUUGUGACACUUAUCUCCACAGCUAAAUUGUAAAUACAGUAAUGCCCCUAUUGCAUAUUUCUAACAUAGUGACCAAGGAAAUUGUUGUAGAGAUUUGACACAUUUUUAUUACUGUAUUGUCUUCUUUUGUCUGUAUAUAUGCAACUGAGAUGGAAGGCAAUACCAUACAUUAUACCGCAUGAUACAUAACCAUUCCCUAAUAAUAGAAUAUAUGAUAGCACUAGAUUGGUGCUGUCAGCCUGUUAGGUAAAAUAGAGCAUAGCCAUCAAGUCAUUCUACUUUCCAGGCAAUACACCAAGAAUAGCAGUUGGGAGAUGGGAUAUGUAGUGCUUAGGAGCUUCCCUCAAUCUAGCUAAGAAGAUUAAACAGGGAGGAAAAUUCAAACAAUGUCUUAAUCAUUAAAACCACAUUAAGAAGGCUGUUACAGGCUGGGUGUGGUGGUUUCCGCCUGUAAUCCCAGCACUUUGGGAGGCCGAGGUGGGUGGAUUGCUUGAGGCAAGGGGUUGGAGACCAGCCUGGCCAACAUGGCGAAACCCUGUCUCUAUUAAAAAUACAAAAAUUAACUGAGCAUGGUGGUGCAUGCCUGUAAGUCCCAGCUACUUGGGAGACUGAGGCAUGAGAAUUGCUGGAAGCCAGGAGGCGAAGGUUGCAGUGAAUGGAGAUCAUGCAACUGCACCCCAGCCUGAGUGACAGAGCGAGACUCUGCAUCUAAAUAAAUAAAUAAAUAAAUAAGGCUGUUACAAAAUAAGUAUCUGAUUGGCUGCCAAAUCAACAGUACCUCUAGUUUAAAGGACAGAGACAGUUGCAAGCUGGAGCGUUUUGAAGAGUUUACGUUUAAAUGGACUAAGGAGAGUGUUUGAUUGGAAUGGUGAAUUGGUGUAAGAAGUAGCACUUAGAAGGUAGGACACAUAGUGUUUUAGUCUGUUUCGUGCUACUGUGAUGAAAUACCUGAGACUGCAUAGUUUAUAAAGAACAGAAAUUUAUUUCUUACAGUUUUAGGGGCUGGGAAGUCCAAGAUCAAAGCAGUGGCAGGUUUGGCUGUCUGGUUGAGGGCUGCUCUCUCCUUCGAAGAUGGAGCCUUGAUGUUGUAUCUUCUAGAGUGGAGAACACUGUGUCCUUACAUUGUGGAAGGCAAAGAAAGUUGAAAAGGGAUGAACCCUCUCCAUGAAGCCCUUUUAUGAGGGCACCUAAUCUCAAUCAUGAGGGUGGUCCCAUGACUCAAUCUCCUCCCAAUGGCCACACCUGCCAACACUUUUGCAUUGUGAACUAAGUUAUAGCAUAAUUUUUGAAGGGGACAAAAACAUUCCAACCAUAGCUAAUGUUCAUCAGAAUAAAGCUAAAUUUGGUCUUGAAAAUAAGUUUUGACCAAAAGGUGUAAACUUCAGUGGUGGGUGCAACAUCCAGGAAGUUUCCUUAAAUGAGGCAAACCAAUUUUUUAUUUUUGCUGACUGGAUUGAAGACAGAAUUGGAGAGCCAUCUUGAACCAUGAAAUGAGCUUAGGAAUAUAGGCCACACAUGAGGGAAUAACAAGAUAAAUGGAGCAAAGGCCUUAGAUACUAUGGAGUCUCAAACCUACCCUGGAUCUCUCUGAACAUGGGCAUCUAUUUUGUUUGAGCCCCUUUUAUUUUGGGUCAUCUUUCACUUGCAGCUGAACCCAAUCCUAACUAUUAUAAUGAGUCAAUACCCUAAAUACUUGGAGAAAGAUAGCAGACUUUACCCUGAGAGACUGAGGAACCAAUUAAUAUUUCUGAGAAAGAAAGAAUACAGGGUUCCUCAUUUUUAGGAUACUAAUCUAAUAUGGGUUACAGGGCAAAUCAGAAAAGAGAAAAAUUUUGUUAGAAGGCUGAUAAAGUUGAUAUCAGUUAGGUAUAAAGCCUAUGAUACAGUUUUGCUGUGUCCCCACCCAAAUCUCAUCUUGAAUUCCCAUGUGUUGUGGGAGGUACCAAGUGGGAAGUAAUUGAAUCAUGGGGGCAACUCUUUCAUGUGAUGUUCUCAUGACAGUGAAUAAGACUCACGAGAUCUGAUGGUUUCAUUGUUUUGUUAUGUUUUGCUUUUUUUGAGAAAGAGUCUCCCUCUGUCACCCAGCCUGGAAUGCAGUGGCACGAUCUCAGCUUACUGCAACCUCUGCCUCCCAAGUUCAAGCCUCAGCUUCCCAGAGUAGCUGGGACUACAGGCGUGCACCACCACACCCAGCUUUUUUUUUUUUCUUUUUUUGUAUUUUUAGUAAAGAUGGGGUUUCAUCAUGUUGGCCAGGCUGGUCUCAAACUCCUGACCUCAGGUGAUCCGCCUGCCUCAGCCUCCCAAAAUGCUGGGAUUACAGGUGUGAGCCACCACAUCUGGCCGAGAUCUGAUGGUUUUAAAAACAGGAGUUUUCCUGCACAAACUCAUUCUCUCUUUGCCUGCUGCCAUCCAUGUAAGAUGGGACUUGUACCUCCUUGCCUUCUGCCAUGAUUGUGAGGCUUCCCCAGCCACGUGGAAAUGUAAGUCCAAUUAAACCUCUUUCUUUUGUAAAUUGCCCAGUCUCAGGUGUGUCUUUAUUAGCAGCAUGAAAACAGACUAAUACAGCCUAAAACUUACAUAACACUGAAACCAAGAGAAGGUUGUAAAACAUCUUGAAAGAAAAAGCACUAAUAUUUUGUUAUUAAAUAUGCUGUUUAGGAAGAUGUAGGGGGGAUGGUGGAUACUAAGCACUUAAGAGAAAAGAGCCAGGUUUUUGAGGUUGGUGGUCUGGGAUAUAAAGUAAAAGAUCAUCUAUAGAAUAGGAGAGGUAAAAGGAUAGAUGCAAAUUAAGAGGGGUAGAGAAAGAGGUAAGUCAGGAAAGUUAUGAAAUAUUGACUGUACAUUGACAUUAGGGGAAUCCAAGUGGAAUUUCCUACUAAGUAUGUUGGCAAUAAGAGAAAGCAAUCAUUAAAAAGUCAGGAAACAGCAGAUGCUGGAGAGGAUGUGGAGAAAUAGGAACACUUUUACACUGUUGGUGGGACUGUAAACUAGUUCAAUCAUUGUGGAAGACAGUGUGGCAAUUACUCAAGGAUCUAGAACUAGAAAUACCAUUUGACCCAGCCAUCCCAUUACUGGGUAUAUACCCAAAGGAUUAUAAAUCAUGCUACUAUAAAGACACAUGCACACAUAUGUUCAUUGCAGCACUAUUCACAAUAGCAAAGAGUUGGAACCAACCCAAAUGCCCAUCAAUGAUAGACUGGAUUAAGAAAAUGUGGCACAUAUACACCAUGGAAUACUAUGCAGCCAUAAAAAAGGAUGAGCUCAUGUCCUUUUUGGGGACAUGGAUGAAGCUGGAAACCAUCAUUCUCAGCAAACUAUCGAAAGGACAGAAAAUCAAACACUGCAUGUUCUCACUCAUAGGUGGGAAUUGAACAGUGAGAACAAUUGGACACAGGGCAGGGAACAUCACACACUGGGGGAGGCGGGAGGGAUAGCAUUAAGAGAAAUACCUAAUGUAAAUGACGAGUUAAUGGAUGCAGCACACCAACAUGGCACAUGUAUACAUAUGUAACAAACCUACGCAUUGUGCACUUGUACUCUAGAACUUAAAAGUAUAAUAAAAUAAAAAAAAUAAAUAAAUAAAAAUUUUGAAUUAAAAAUAAAAGAAAGAAAAUUAAAAGGCAGCCAAAGAAAAAGACCUAGAAAAGUAAAGUGUGAUUUCACAGUGGGCACAACAACUUUACACUAAACUAGAAAACUCUCUUUAGUUAUAACAUCUAACAAGAUGGUGUUCACAUUUCUGCAUGUGUAUUGCUAGCUUUGCAUAAUGAACUUCAAACCUGUUUUUGAUCUGUGAUACUUGACUGUUCACCAAAGAUGAAAUGUUGACAUGGAUUCUGUCACUAAAUUGGGUAUUACCAAAACUCUUGGUUGUUAUGUACAUUUCUUGUGCCCAAUGUUACAAAAGAAUCAUAACUGAGAAAAACUCAUGGGCUAAAUUCCUUAUGUUUGAAAUUCCAUACAGCUUUCUUAAAGGGAAUCUAAGUGCCACAUUUGUCCUAAAAGAGAGGCGCCACAAAAUAGAGUGUAAAGUUAUACAACAUAUACUUCACACCCCUCCACAGAUUCAGCCUCAGGGCAGGAACCGUAUAAAAAGUGUGACCAUCACACCUUUUAUUAAAAUCCCAAAACAGAUGUAUGUGACUCCCCAGUCCUUUCAAUAGGAUGGAAAUGGCUCAGAGAAGAGUCCAAAGGCUUUUCUUUCAAUAAAUAAUCCUGAGAUAACUGGCAAGCCACAUGUAGAAAAAUGAAACUGGGUCCUCAUCUCUCACCUUAUAAAAAAGAUCAACUUAUGAUGGAUCAAAUAGUUAAAUCUAAGACCUGAAACCAUAAAAUUUCUAGAAGAUAACAUUAGAAAACUCUUCUAGACAUUGUCUUAGGUAAAGAAUUCAUGGCUAAGUACCCAAAAGCAAAUGCAACAUAAACAAAAAUAUAUAAAUGGGACCUAAUUAAACUAAAAAGCUUUUGCAUAGCAAAAGAAAUAGUCAGCAGAGUAAACAGACAACCCACAUAGUGGGAAAAAAUAUUUGUAAACUAUGCAUCUGACAAAAGGACUAAUAUCCAGGAUCUACAAGGAACUCAAACAAAUCACCAAGAAAAAAACCAAAUAAUCAAAAGACAUGAAUAGGCAAUUCUCAAAAGAAGAUAUAGAAACAGUCAACAAACAUAUGAAAAAAUGCUCAACAUCACUAAUUAUCAGGGAAAUGCAAAUUGCAACCACAAUGAGAUACCACCUCACUCCUGCAAGAAUGGCCAUAAUUAAAAAAUCAAAAAAUAACAGCUGUUGGUGUGGAUGUUGUGAAAACGGAGUUCUUUUACGCUACUGGUGGGAAUGUUAACUAGUACAAUCACUAUGGAAAACAGUAUGGAGAUUCCCUAAAGAACUAAAAUUUGAAUGGCCAUUUGAUUGAGCCAUCCCACUUCUGGGUAUCUACCCAAAGGAAAAAGAGUCAUAUGUGAAAAAGAAACAUGUACAUUCAUGUUUAUAGCAGCACAAUUCACAAUUGCAGAAAUAUGAAACCCUCCUAAAUGACCAUCAACCAACAAGUGGAUAAGGAAAAUAUCGUAUAUGUAUAUAUAUUAUAAAUACUACUCAGCCAUAAAAAGGAACAAAAUAAUGGCAUUCGCAGCAACCUGGAUGGAGCUGGAGGCAAUUAUACCAUGUGAAGUAACUCAGUAAUAAAAAACCAAGCAUCAUAUGUUCUCACUUAUAAAUGGGAGCUAAGCUAUGAGGAUGCAAAGGUGUAAGAAUAAUAUAAUGGACAUUGGGGACUCUUGGGGAAGGGUUGGAGGGGGUGAGGGAUAAAAUACUAUACAUUGGUGGGCACUGCUCGGGCGACGGGUACACUAAAAUCUCAGAAACUGCCAUUAAGGAACUUAUUCAUGUAACCAAAAACCACCUGUUCCCCAAAAACUACUGAAAUAAAAUGUUUUAAAAUAAAGGCUUUUCUACACCCUUAGACUUUCUCAACUCUGUUUUGUAGUGGAAUGCGGGGGUAGAGGAGCUUAAAGUCAUUGGUUAGCACAGCAUAACCUAGUGGAAACAAAUACAGCUGUCAAUGCAUCUGAGAAUUAUCUUGGUAAAUAUUGUAUCUAUUGUUAUUGAAUUACUGUUAUUGGAAUUUAAUAUUGUUAGCGCCCAAGCAGAGAAUAAAAGAGCAGUGCUUUUGUGCAUAGGAAUAGAUACAUGGUUAUCAGAUAAUGAUCAGUGAGUCAGCAGAUUUAGGAUAUUUGAGACAUGAUAUUGAAGAUCAACUGCUCUAAAAGACUUCCUGAGGAUUCAUUUCAAUCUCAAAACAUCCAAGGUAGACAUGAGCAGAGCUUAUCUUUAUUUUAAAAGACGAAAAAAUAGAUUUAAGGGACAUUCAGACAUACAAUGACCAGAUUCAGGUCCUCCAUGCUCUUUCUGUAACUUUGUACUUCUAAAUGAAACACUUCUCAGAAGAGGAUUUAAUUAGUGCCUAUGUCUCUACAUACCUGUGAUUUUCUUUGUCUUUAAUGAAAUAUGUAAACUCUAUUAUUGAACAACUUUUAAGACAUCAAUGACAUUCUUUCUAGAUGAAUAUUGUUUUCAUUGUUUCCUACUGUCCUCAUAGUUUGUGAAAUAGUCAUUUCUUCCAUAAUCCUUCUCUACUGCUCAGAUUCUCAGCAGGAAAUAGAGACAAUCUCUUCCUCCAUUAAUGGAUUAGUCCAACAUCUCUAGGCAAGAGCUGUCCAGGGGACUUCUCAUAUUUCACCACAAGAUAUAAAAAUUUACAUGCUGGCUCUUUGUUUAGUUUUUUCUUUUCUUUUCUUUUCUUUUUUUUUUUUUUUUUUGAGACAGAGUCUCACUCUAUCUUAGGCUGGAGUGCAGUGGCACGAUCUUGGCUCACUGCAAUCUCCACCUCCUGGGUUCAAGCAAUUCUCCUGCCUCAGCCUCCCAAGUAGCUGGGAUUACAGGUGGGCACCACCACGCCUGGCUAAUUUUUGUAUUUUUAGUAGAGACAGGAUUUCACCACGUUGGCAAGGCUGGUCUCGAGCUCCUGACCUCGUGAUCCUCCAGCCUCGGCCUCCCCAAAUGCUGGGAUUACAGGUAUGAGCCACCGUGCCCAGCCUUUUUUUUCCUGUUUUAAAAUUAAAACAGUAUACUCAACUUAAUUCUCAAAAAUAAAACAAGUCCCUUUUUUCCCCAGCUAAGC
rnacentral:lncRNA from 1 species